GUAGGGAAUAUUGGGCAAUGGAUGCAAGUCUGACCCAGCCAUCCCGCGUGCCGGAAGAAGGCCCUCAGGGUUGUAAACGGCUUUUGACGGUGAAGAACCGACAGGAUGCGUCCUGUUUUGACGGUAGCCGUUGAAUAAGCACCGGCUAACUCCGUGCCAGCAGCCGCGGUAAUACGGAGGGUGCGAGCGUUGUCCGGAUUUAUUGGGUUUAAAGGGUGCGUAGGCUGGAUGGUCAGUCAGCGGUGAAAAGCUAUCGCUUAACGAUAGUCUUGCCGCAGAUACUUCCUUUCUUGGAUGAGGAGGAGGCCACUGGAACGGAUGGUGUAGCGGUGAAAUGCAUAGAUAUCAUCCAGAACACCGAUUGCGAAGGCAGGUGGCUGUACCUUAAUCGACGCUGAUGCACGAAAGCAUGGGGAGCAAACAGGAUUAGAAACCCCAGUAGUCC
rnacentral:rRNA from 1 species